rnacentral:rRNA from 1 species
UACGUAGGCAGCAAGCGUUGUUCGGAAUUACAGGGCGUAAAGGGGGCGACGGCGGUGCUCUAAGUUUGGUGUGAAAUCUCCCGGCUUAACUGGGAGGGUGCGCCGAAGACUGGAGUGCUUGAGUGCGGGAGAGGAAAGCGGAAUUCCUGGUGUAGCGGUGAAAUGCGUAGAGAUCAGGAGGAACUCCUGCGGUGUAGACGGCUUUCUGGACCGUAACUGACGCUGAGGCACGAAAGCGUGGGUAGCAAACAGG